UGGUGGAUACCUAGGCACCCAGAGAUGAGGUAGGGCAUAGUAAGUGACAAAAUGCUUUGGAGAGUUGAAAAUAAGCGUUGAUCCGGAGAUUCCCGAAUAGGUCAACCUUUCGAACUGUUGUUGAAUCCAUGGGUAGGCAAGAGACAACCUAGCGAACUGAAACAUCUUAGUAACCAGAGGAAAAGGAAGCAAAAGCGAUUCCCAUAGUAGUUUGUCACGAGAGACUUGAAUUGUGAAAGAAACACACACAACCAAAGAUUUAGGAAGAUGGUAGGAAAUAGGUGUGGGAUUAGGGUGAAGUGAAACAUGAGUCUUAAAACCA
rnacentral:ncRNA from 1 species